UUUCUGUUUGAACCUCCAGUGAGCUGGUAUUUGUGACAUCACAAUCCUGUGUUUGCCACAUCAGUCAGUUGCCAUGGACACAGAUAUGAUGUGUCUAGAUUUAUGACUUCCCUGCAGGAUCAACUAAGAGCAGAUGGGCUAUGAGGGAGAGAGAUUUUAUUGCAACAAAAAUACCCUAACAAUUAGCAAAUCCGGCAAGUAACAAACAGAAAACUACAUGACACACACCUCUCUGCUACAACCACUUUUUUCCCUUUAAAACUGCUGCCCGUUGGCAUUGGCAAGGUACCACAGCAGAGCAAAGCACCAGGCCCAGCGCUUCCUGCAUGUGCAGAAAAACAACAUUCUAACAGCAUCUCUGCUCCUAAUCUGAUGAGGACAAUCUGCUUACCACCACCUUUCCUAAGGGACUCGGCAAAGUUUCAAUUUUGCUAACUCUCUCCCAUUGUGGCCUAGAGUAGGGACAUGCCAUCCAGUCUAAUCUUGACGAAUUUACUAAUGUUUGUAAAGAGCUUGGCGGAUGAAAAGCGGAGCUUGCAUAUAAAUAUCCGGUAUUAUUUUAUUAGUCUCACCUGGGGCACCAGAAACUCUAACACCAGCAUCAUACCAUGUGACAUAGCACAAGACAUCGAGUGUGAGUGUAUUUAACACAGAAAAGGGCUACUGCGAGCUACUGACUACGGGAGCUACACCAGUAACGGGAAUCAAAUCUGACUAAGAGUAUACAGCUGAGUAAGACGUGCUGCCGCGGGAUGGGGACUGCAGAACAAUGCACUAGCUUUUGUCUUUGGAGAUAGGUUCAAACCCUAUCCUACUAUGGCUAAGGUAACAAGCGAAAAUACAUUUGGUGGUUUCACCCAGCUCUUGACAUCACAAAGCCUUGCAAUGAGUGGCAGAGAAGACAGUGGUAAUUAUGGGCAACUGUGGGAUCCAAAUUCUAUACCCAAUAAAGCACCACCACAGUUGAAGGUGGGCAACACAGUCCCAAACCAACUAGGACUGGCCAGAGAAGCAGGAACUAUACUAUUAACAAACUGAUAUAUAAGGAGUUAA